GAUUGCUUCUCAAAUUGUGCAUCCAGCAGAGAGGUAAGAGAGGUGGAGGCAACUGUGAAGGUUCCCUGACUUUACUGUGCUUCUACAGAUUUUUGUGAGGCCAUUUCUGUAGAUUUCACUCAGAAGAGGAUUAACUGCAGCACAGGAACAGAAAUGAACAGUCAGUGUCUAAAGGAAGUACAAGAACUUCUAUGCCUUACUGUCAGAGAAAAAUGUCAGCUGGAUCAGUUAAGAAAAAGUCAGUGGUGGUGCAGAUGGUGA
rnacentral:lncRNA from 12 species